CCAGAAGCUACAGAGAUGGAGAGAGAGGAACAGAACAAACAAACAAUGCGCUCAUCCACAACAUUGAUAAGUGACCCUCCUUUCUCGUUACGUGACCCUCCUGUCUACCUCUCUUGUCCUCAUAUCAGAUGUCAACAUCAUGGGAAAGAAGAAUGAGAAGGAGAGCGGGGAAAAAAAGAGGUAAUCUCAAUGUGCCAGAGCAGUUGCAACAAUUAUCUAUGGUUUGACCUGAGCCAUCAGAAACAGAAAUAGAUGAAAAACUGAGGAGAGUCAUGAGAACUUUCUUCCGGGCCUCUCAGCGGAGCUAGCAGAGAUGCAUGACUAUGAAGGCCUCCGGCUGGAAAGGCACUCAGCACUUCAUCAACUGACUCCACAGAGACGGUCCAGCUCCGGAUCUCUCAGAAGUCUGUCGUAUCGAGGUAGAGAUUCUCUGGGACAAUGUGCAGACUUCUCAACCACCCUAGUCCUGUGAGCUAAACUAUUUUAAACAGGUGCUAGCACUCUGUAAUGGAGGUUUUGAAGUGUCCAUGCACCAUGAGUACCUGUGGUGGCUGUGCU
ensembl:lncRNA